AGGUGCCCUCGUUCACACCGGUUCCGCCGCGCCGCCGGCACCCACCUGUCGACUGUUGACGACGUUUUGUCAUCU
rnacentral:sRNA from 1 species